GCCUGGGUGCCUGCAUCACUGCAUGGAGCAGAGCCCUCUCACUCCACCGCUGGUGCCCCCUAAUGGGCUACUAGGCCUCUUUCCUUUUAUCCUGGGGCAUCUUCACAAGUGCUGACCCGGGGAAUGGGGAAUAUCCUUGCCAUGAGCCAUUGGAUGCUGUCAGAAAGAGAAGAGAUCUACCCAGGGAUCACCUUUCUGGAGAAGCAUAAAAGGAGAAAACCCCCUCCAGGCUCUCCGUGAGGGCAAGGAAGCAGGGGGAUCAAUGAGGAC
rnacentral:lncRNA from 1 species